CCUCUCCAAGGAGAACCCUGAACUCACCGUCUCGCUCCGCUCUUAUGGGGGGAGAGGAAUAGUUUCACGCCCACCUGCCCGCCGCCUCUCCUCCCCCGGCACCCCCUGCCUCAGCCGGGCGCGCGCGAGCUGCUACCGGCAUCAACGGUCCCGCCCGCUACCCGCUCCCUGGCAGCCCCGGCCGGCAGCUCCCCCGGCGGCCGCCUCUGCACCACUCGCCAACCUCCACGCCGGGCCGAGGUCAUGCCCGCCUGCCCCCAGCGCCGGGCGGCCCCCUCCUCGUGCCAGCCGGCCGCUCGGGAGCCGGGCUGGGGAAGGGGCCCGCGGCGGAGUUGGCUCGGGGACUCACCAGAUAAUGCAUCCACUUCAUAAAAAGGUUUGAGGGAGACACAUCUCACACAUGAAAACCCAAUCAUCGUGUUUAUAAACCGCAAAAGGAGCAAGAACCUAAGAUGCCACUAAUUGUAAAAUGCACCAUUAUUGUACAUACUUCUGAGAAAGUUCACGAAAAGAAGCUCAAGGUGAAGAAUUUAGCGUGAGACUUUCCACACAAAGCUGGCCUACUGAAGUAAGGACACACGAGAAAUGAACCCAGCAUGUAGAAAGGGACAGCAAGGAAACUUGCCAGUUUCAACCUUAGCCCCAGAUGGAAGGAGAAAGAAAAGUCUCUCCUUUUCAGGAGAGAAUCAGGAGGUGAUCAU